AAUAUGCCUCAAUUAUAGUUCAUGAUAAAGAGGAAAAAUAUUUAUACUAAAUUAAUAAACACAUUUUGAUAAUAAUGAUAAAAAAUUAAUGAUUGAAAUUUGAUUUUCUUUUCAAAAUAAAUCCGGACAAUAGCUACCAGAGAAAAGAAAGUAAAGGGAAAUUAUUUUAAAUCAUAUAAAUAUAUUCAGACGACAAUAAAUUAUAGCUACACGUUUCAGAAAUUCGAAUAUCAAGGCAGAUGCUGUUAUUGACAACCAAAAACAGCACCGCCUGCAGCUUUCAAGUAUUCAAAGAACUAUCAAACAAUAUCAUGCUCAACUGUACUAGCUAUGCCGUUCUAAUUCACCAAGAAAGAAAAGGAAAACGUUUCUUUCAAUAUAUUGAUUAUAGAAAGGUAAGUUCUAACUAAAGAAGCUUUGACAUAGGUGCUUAUAAUCUCCAUCUGAAAGAAAGCCACAUUAUGCUGGUGCUAGGGACAUGGAUUUCCCGUCCCUUGAUAACAUUGGGAAAGAGAACAAAAGACAAAGUAUAAGCUCAAAAUACUAGGUCUAGUUGAUGAAAUUUUCGAAAAUCAUUUGUUGAUGUUAAGUUGGAGUUAUAAGAAUGGAGAAUGAAUCAGAAAGUAGUAGAUUGCCUAUUCAUUCGGUCAAACAACCUCUCAGAUGUUCGGCACAGCACAAACUGGCUGCACCAAGAAAACAUCAAGGCUGAGACCGGUCAUAAGUACCUGCUGUACUUCAUC
rnacentral:lncRNA from 1 species